AUCAGUGCUUAGUGCCAGGGCAUUAAUCCCUAAGUUGUGUUUCUCUAAUGUAGCCACUAGGGAAUGCUUCUUCCCUCCUGAACUUCUCCUCCACACCUUGAUUUUUCUGUCUGCUGAUCCAGUAUAAACAUCCCCAUCACUUGAAGCUGCCACAGCGUUUAUAGCGUCAUCAUGUGCACUUGAUAUUGACUCCAGACAUUUGAAGUCACUUGUCCUCCA
rnacentral:misc_RNA from 1 species